CAUUCUCUGCUUCACUGUUAAGGCUACAGGUGCUACCAACCACAUAACCAGCAUUAUGGGCCCCUGGACAUCACUGUUAAGGCUACAGGUGCUACCAACCACAUAACCAGCAUUAUGGGCCCCUGGACAUCACUGUUAAGGCUACAGGUGCUACCAACCACAUAACCAGCAUUAUGGGCCCCUGGACAUCACUGUUAAGGCUACAGGUGCUACCAACCACAUAACCAGCAUUAUGGGCCCCUGGACAUCACUGUUAAGGUCAGACUAC